rnacentral:lncRNA from 1 species
AGCUUCAAACCCCACCUUUACAAUGUACUCAUACUCAAUCUUUAGUUGCAUAUGUAUUAAUUAAUAUCACAUUCUUGGUUGUUGAAGCUGAAAACAUUGAUAUGUAUUUGUGUUAUUAGAGGUUAAAGAAGAGACAGAGAGCAUCCUUGGCGAUGCUUCUUCUUUUCUUUCGUGGUAGGCAAAGCAACUUCAUCACUUUCUUUACCAAUCUCUACGCGCUCUUUCACUACUAUCUCCACUGUUUCAUCAUAGUGUUCUCAAAUACAUGGUGGAGGAAGCCAUACAUACA